UCUUUGAUGGUCUAACGGUCAUGAUUUCCGCUUGUCAAUCGUUCCGCGGGAGACCGGGGUUCGACUCCCCGUCAGAGAG
rfam:Blumeria graminis f. sp. tritici 96224 unplaced genomic scaffold Scaffold-701, whole genome shotgun sequence.